rnacentral:rRNA from 1 species
UACGUAGGGUGCGAGCGUUAAUCGGAAUUACUGAGCGUAAAGCGUGCGCAGGCGGUUCGUUAAGUCAGAUGUGAAAGCCCCGGGCUCAACCUGGGAACUGCAUUUGAAACUGGCGGGCUUGAGUGUGGCAGAGGGGGGUGGAAUUCCGCGUGUAGCAGUGAAAUGCGUAGAGAUGCGGAGGAACACCGAUGGCGAAGGCAGCCCCCUGGGCCAACACUGACGCUCAGGCACGAAAGCGUGGGGGGCGAACAGG